UGCUUUUUGGAAAUGUGAUUUAGUUGGUAAAUAAAUAUGUACAAGUGCUUAAAGGGAUACUUCAGCCAUUCAGAACCGGCGUUUCAUCAUUAUAAAAUCGCUAUUGUAAUAUAUAAAAAAAGUUUUUUUUCCCCCUCAGUCUAACCCAGUCUUCCCUUGAACCAGCUUUCCUGAUCCAAGUUUCUCCCGAGAUGACGAUGUCAUCUCGGGAGAACUUUGCUUGCCUGCUAGAAGGGCCAAGGACUACAAACCACUGUUUCCGCAAAUUUGUGAGCCCACCAAUAAGGAAUGAGGGGGGGCGGGAGCUCGCGUACGAGAUAUAAACACAAUGCCAUGUUUCUUCACCGCUUAGCUAGAGAACAUAUUCGCAAUAUGAAACAGCCAAAGUGGAUUUUGAAAAUCUAUUGUUGGAUUCAGACUUUCAGGGCUAUUAGUAUGACCCAGAAUACAGCCAGGAAGAAUUGACACAAAUAGAGAAAGAGGCUGCUGCGGCUGCAGCUGAACAAGCCUUGCCUGUUGCCGAGGACGAGGAGCCGGAGCGCGCCGGUUUGCUCUAUUCGCCUAUAGACACUAACACAGAGUCCCUGUCCUGGAGCGAAUUUCAGCAAUGCCAGUUUCUUCUAGAAUAAAUUGCUGAAUCUGGUGAGGACGGGGCCAUGUGUGUAACCUCUCACCCAGGCUUUACGCCUCAUCUGAACAGUUGGGUAUUGGAUACAUAUUUCCAGACCCAGAAAGUGAAAUGGUAACACCAGCCAAAGCCCGCUGGAGAAAGCGACUUCUGACCAUAGAACAGUAUCGGCUUCCUGUGUUGUCCAGGCCAUCAGAGCUAAUUACCCAGCACAAGAUGGGCAUUACCGUGGCUACCAGGAGACAGGAGAUGCUUAAGAUGAGCUGUGACUAUUUUGACUCUAGCAAAACGCACCCUACACGUUUUAUUUUUGUAAAUAGUUCAUAUUUUUUCAUGAAUAAAACUUCAAAUUCA